CAGUAGCCGCGGUAAUACGGAGGGGGCUAGCGUUGUUCGGAAUUACUGGGCGUAAAGCGCACGUAGGCGGCUUGGUAAGUUAGAGGUGAAAGCCCGGAGCUCAACUCCGGAAUUGCCUUUGAGACUGCCGAGCUAGUAGGUGAGAGAGGUAAGUGGAAUUCCGAGUGUAGAGGUGAAAUUCGUAGAUAUUCGGAAGAACACCAGUGGCGAAGGCGGCUUACUGGACCAUAACUGACGCUGAGGCACGAAAGCUAGGGGAGCAAACAGGAUUAGAUACCCCCGUAGUCCCUGUCUCUUAUAC
rnacentral:rRNA from 1 species